GUGGGGAAUAUUGGUCAAUGGGCGAGAGCCUGAACCAGCCAAGUAGCGUGAAGGAAGACUGCCCUACGGGUUGUAAACUUCUUUUGUACGGGAAUAAAGUUGGCCACGUGUGGCUUUUUGCAUGUACCGUACGAAUAAGGACCGGCUAAUUCCGUGCCAGCAGCCGCGGUAAUACGGAAGGUCCGAGCGUUAUCCGGAUUUAUUGGGUUUAAAGGGAGCGCAGGCGGAAUGUUAAGUCAGCUGUGAAAUCCCGUCGCUCAACGGCGGAACUGCAGUUGAUACUGGCUUUCUUGAGUGCACAUAAGGAUGGUGGAAUUCGUGGUGUAGCGGUGAAAUGCUUAGAUAUCACGAAGAACUCCGAUUGCGAAGGCAGCCAUCUGGGGUGCAACUGACGCUGAGGCUCGAAAGUGCGGGUAUCAAACAGG
rnacentral:rRNA from 1 species